rnacentral:rRNA from 1 species
AUUGAACGCUGGCGGCAGGCCUAACACAUGCAAGUCGAGCGAGCGGCGGACGGGUGAGUAAUGUAUGGGGACUGCCCGAUAGAGGGGGAUAACUACUGGAAACGGUGGCUAAUACCGCAUACUAUCGGAUAACCCAUAUGGGAUUAGCUAGUAGGUGGGGUAAAGGCUCACCUAGGCGACGAUCUCUAGCUGGUCUGAGAGGAUUAUCAGCCACACUGGGACUGAGACACGGCCCCGACUCCUACGGAGGCAUCAGUGGGGAAUAUUGCACAAUGGGCGCAAUCCUGAUGCAGCCAUGCCGCGUGUAUGAAGAAGGCCUGAGGGUUGUAAAGUACUUUCAGCGGGGAGGCGUUACCCGCAGAAGAAGCACCGGCUAACUCCGUGCCAGCAGCCGCGGUAAUUC